CGUAUACUAAAGUUGUUGCAGUUAAAAAGCUCGUAGUUGAAUUUCUGGUCGUGAAACGUGGUCUGUUCCGCAAGGAAUGUGUACUGUCGAUUUAUGUCCAUCCUCGGUGUUAGUAUGCAUUACUUUAAUCGGUCGUGUAUACAACCACCGUCAUUUACUGUGAGCAAAAUAGAGUGUUCAAAGCAGGCUUAUGCCGUUGAAUAUAUUAGCAUGGAAUAAUAAGAUAUGACUUUGGUCUAUUUUGUUGGUUUGCACUCCAAAGUAAUGAUUAAUAGGGAUAGUUGGGGGUAUUCGUAUUCAAUUGUCAGAGGUGAAAUUCUUGGAUUUAUGGAAGACGAACUACUGCGAAAGCAUUUACCAAGGAUGUUUUCAUUAAUCAAGAACGAAAGUUAGGGGAUCGAAGAUGAUUAGAUACCAUCGUAGUCUUAACCAUAAACUAUGCCGACUAGGGAUUGGUGGUGUUUGUUAUGACUCCAUCAGCACCUUAUGAGAAAUCAAAGUCUUUGGGUUCCGGGGGGAGUAUGGUCGCAAGGCUGAAACUUAAAGA
rnacentral:rRNA from 1 species